rnacentral:rRNA from 1 species
AUACGGAGGAUCCGAGCGUUAUCCGGAUUUAUUGGGUUUAAAGGGUGCGCAGGCGGCCAUUUAAGUCAGCGGUUAAAUCGUGGGGCUCAACCCCAUUCUGCCGUUGAUACUGGGUGGCUUGAUUGCGGUCGAGGUUGGCGGAAUUCGUUGUGUAGCGGUGAAAUGCAUAGAUAUGACGAAGAACACCGAUUGCGUAGGCAGCUGACCAGACCGCAAAUGACGCUCAUGCACGAAAGUGCGGGGAUCGAACAGGAUUAGGUACCCUGGUAGUCCGCACAGUAAACGAUGAAUACUUGUUUUCGGCGAUAUAAUGUCGGAGGCAAAGCGAAAGCGAUAAGUAUUCCACCUGGGGAGUACGCCGGCGACGGUGAAACUUAAAGGAAUUGACGGGG